AUGAUGAUGGGUAUCAGAAACAGGGUGCAGAAGUGGAAGGUUGAGUGUCGUGUGGUUCAAGUGAGGUACGAAGAAGAAGGUUCGUGGCUGUGCGGAGGGAGUAUGGAAUAUGAUUGGAGAACAGAGAUACGGAGCUCCAUCAACAAUAACUUUGACGUACUUGCAAGUUUUCAUGGCAAUAUUUUUUCUGUUUCCUCUCACCGGUGGCCAUCCGACCACAUGUUUGGUCCCAAGAUGAAGAUCAAGUGUAGUGGAGGAGAAGCGUCAUAA